rnacentral:lncRNA from 1 species
CCCCGAGACCAGCUGAGGGACGCAGAGAUGUCCGUGGGGGUGUAUAGAUGCCUCUGGGGACCCUAUAAAGCCCCUGAGGUGGCCCACAGAGCAGCUUAGGGACCCCAGAGAUGCCUAUGGAGCGGUAUAGAGAUCCCUGGGGACCCUAUGGAGCCCCCAAGUGGGCCCUGAGACCGGCUGAGAGACCUGGAGACGCCCAUGGGGGGCUAUCGAUGUCCCAUGGACCCUAUAGAGCCCCCGAGGAGACCCAUAGACCAGCAUAUGGACCCCAUAGAUGCCUGGGGGGACCUAUAGAUCUUCCUUGGGGACCCCUAGAUCAACAUAGCUAUUCUGAAGGCAUGCAUGGGGACCCAUAGAUCCCUUUUGGGGACCCAUAGACUCCCUUAGGGACCUGUAGAAAAUCCUGGGGACCCUAUAGAUCCCCCUUGGCAGCCGUAGACCAACAUAGGGACCUUGUAGGCACCCAUGGGUACCUAUAGCUCUCCUUUGGGGAUCUGUAGGUCCCCCUUGGAGGCCCAUGGACCAAUGUAGGAAUCCCCUAGGUACCCCUCAGGGACCCAUAGACACGCCUGGGAAUGUAUAGGUUGGCAUAGGGAUCCCCUUGACACUUCUCAGGGACCCAGAGAUACCCAUGGGGAUGCCCUGAGGACCCAUAGACCACCAUAAGGACCUGUAGGCACCCCUCAGGGACCCAUAGAUCCCCCCUGGGGACCCAUAGGCCCCCAUGGGGACUGUAGGCACCUACUGGGGACCUGUAGACACCUGCUACGGGGAGCCAGGGACAUCGCAGCAGCCCCAGUACGGCCCAGUACAGCCCACUGCCUCCCCUGCCAUUUCUCUACGUCGCCUCGGAGCGUCCCGGCGUGGACCAGUAUGAACCAGCGUAGGUCUGGGGGCCCAACUGGGAGCUCCUGCAUCUCCAUGGCCUUGGGUUGGACCAGUUCGGACCAGCAUGGACCAGUACAGCAUCCUCAUCGGGAUUCCUCACCUGCGUGGCCUUGCGCCGUCCCAGUCCAGACCAGUACAGCGGCAGAGCUGGAAUCUCUUCACCCACCUGGCCUUGGGCCAUCCCAGUACGGACCAGUAUGGACCAGUAUGGCAUCUCAACUGGGAGCUCCUCACCCACGUGGCCUUGGGCCAUCCCAGUACGGACCAGUAUGGACCAGUAUGGCAUCUCAACUGGGAGCUCCUCACCCACGUGGCCUUGCGUCUCCCAGUAUGGACCAGUACGGACCGGUAGGGCACCCCCACUGGGACCUCUUCACCCACACAGCCUUCUGUCCUGCCAGUAUGGACCAGUACAGCCCAGUGCCCUCCCCACCCGGUGCCUUCCUAUGUCCCCCCUCUAUUUAUUGCCCCCCCGCCGCGG